CGGCUACAUCACGUUGAAACAUUGGUUCCCAUACGAUCACCGAAGUUGAGCAACGUCGAGCCUGGUCAGUACCUAGAUGGGUGACCGUUUCAGUUUACCAGAUGCUGUAAG